rnacentral:lncRNA from 1 species
UACAACCCUCCAUUUUCAUCGCUCUCGUCUAAAUGAACUAAACCCUAGCCACCCUAGGACUACCACAACGGCUUUGCCUAUCUCCGCCUCCCAAAAUUCUCCCCACAACGGGAGAGCUUCAUCAAAUCGCUCCAAAUUAACACCAUGUGAUCCUGAGCCCUUCCCAACACCAUCCUUAUAUUAUCUUCCCCAAAUUCCCAACCUAAAUUCACCAAUUUUAGAUCUGAAAAUCAAAUCCAAACCCUAAUCGACCAAAGCACCCCAAAAUCACAAUCCGAACUCCUCACACCCCUCUGGACCCUAAACUACAGUCAAUUUCCCAAAACCCCUGCUAUGGUUUCAUUAAUUUUGGAUCCAAUUUAUGGAGAUUCAUUUUGGAUUUUGAUUUAGGCAUGCAAGUUUGUUCUUUUGGACCCAUGAUUUACAUCAGCCGGUUGCUCUAGAUAAGAGCAAUCGUUUGAUGUUAAGUGCAUUUCUUCCCCUUAUCAAAAUUGUUCCGGUUUCGUAUUUGUAUCCGAAGAGCAUAGGUGGUAUUUCUUUUUCCUUCUUUUGUUAUUCUUAUUUUCUUCUUUGUUUGAUUUGCAUGAUUCAGGGUUUUUAGUGCUCAGGUAUUAGGUGUUUGUUCAUUUUGCUUAUAUUAGUAUAAGUUAGCAUGUUUUAGCAGUUUCACUACAUGACGUUGUUGUUGAUUCCAUCAUAAUUGAUUCAUGUUAGGGUUAGUUUAAUUUAAGUUUUCUGUUGUAGCAUUCAUUUGCAUUUUAUUUUUCUUAAUUAUUAUUUAGGUUAAUUGCUGGCCCAGUCCCUGUUUACUUGAUUUGUACAUCAUUAGGAACUUGUAAAGGUCUAAUUGAACUAAAAGAAACUUAGGAUGAUUUUCAGGAAAAAUAUCUAGCAAGAGGAAGGUUCUAGAAGUAUAUAGCUGUCCAAAAUUAGUUUUAAAAGAUACCGAAAAAUGGACAACUGGACAUUAGUAUCUUUCACAGCACUUGUGCCGUUUAAAGAAUUUAGGGUAGAAUAUCUCUUAGAUGUUAUUUUUGGAUAUACACUAUAAAAAAAAAAGCCAUUCACUCAUUUUCUCACGCACAUCAGAUUUAGAGAACCCUAAAAAUACAUUCUCAAAGUUUCAAUUAUUGUUGACUUAGGAGUUGAUUCUUUUUUCUUCUUAUUUAGCAAAAAAACUUAAAGAAUUGCUGUGAGAUUUUCUAUUUUUUCACAAGUCAAAAAUAGAUUGAAUGUAAAACUGGUGUUUGUUGUUGUAUAUUGCUAACUGUUUAGCUGAAGGCUUUUGUUGAUUUCUAUUGUUCCUCAAAGAUUUUCUCAUUUUACGCUUUGUUGUACCUAGGUACUUUUGGAACCUUUGGAUAACAAAGAUGCAGUUAUAAAUUUUUGGUGUCGAAAUUGAUGUCCAAAAAUGUUAAAUUUCUGUUCUUUUUCAGCCCAUGAUCUCUUAUGUCUUUCUUAGCUAUACAGUUUUCUUUCCCAUUGUUUAAGUAUUCUGGACCUGUUGUUUUAGUCUAUGGUUAGUUGUAAUAUCUAGUUCAUGGAUGUUUAACUUAGUUUGUUGUUAGAGUAUGCUAGUCAAUAUGUUAUAUAUGUUCAAAAGUGAAUGGUUUGAUUGUUGAAAAUACUCAUCUCACUAUCAGAAUUCUAGAAUUAUUAAAAUAGUUAUAUAUUAGGAUGAUUAUCGAGCCAUUUAAUGCUGAUUUCGUAUUGCUAUUAUAAAUAGCAUGACGGUAAAGUAAGACUCAUAGCAUGAUUUUUUAUGUAUGCUGAUUUUUCGGAGUUUAUAUAAUGUUUAUGUAUGUUGGUGUUCAUUUGAUGCAAUGCUUGUUUUACCCCAAGGCUGAGGGUUAGCAGGAUCUCAACCAUGUCAAAAGGCUUCCUUCUUGAAAACAUUACGCCUGAUAUUGUCCCAAAUGAGGGAGCCUGGUCGAAAUCACCCUUUCUAUGGUUUCUGGGUUCCUACUACUUUUGGGACUCAAUUUUGAGCCCAAUCCAUACCGCAUGUUGUUGUUCUUCAGAUCUGGUACUUCAUCAGAAUAAUUAGUCUUGAUUUAGUAGUUAAAUAAUUUAAUUCAUAAACUCAAGCAGAUGUGUGUACAUUUAGCUUUAAAUUAUCACUAAUACCAACACUUUUGAAAUGAUUGUAUAUCAUAGUUUAAGUUAAUUUAUGAAUUGUUUAAGGUUCAAUCUUAUUUUUGUUAUCACUAAAUGCAUUAUAAUGAGUUAAGGUCCAUCGUGUUAGGGACUUUGUUGAGGAUUCGUGCAAAUGCUGGUGUACAUAAACUGUUAUGAUUUAAGCCUUAGCAGGCUUUAACGGCUGAAGCUUGGUUCUUAAAAUGAUUGGGCCUGGCAAUGGCCCAAAGAAGGCUUCAAGGCUAAAAUCAGGCCUAUUUAUUUCCAUCCUCAUUUGUCUUCAUGUUUGGGCAAAAUUUCGAGCCCAAUUAGCACCAGCUUUUAUUUUUCUUUUAAUAAUUGCUCUUAAUAAUGCAUUGGGCCUACUCUUGGACCAGUUCCUUUCAGAUAACUAAAGAUUUGCCUUAUAUUUCUAUACCUAUUAUUAAUAGCCUUGUAUUGAAUUUUAAAUUAGAUUUAAAAAUAAACAUACUUAGUUUGCUUUAGUUAAGUAUAAUCUCUUCCUUGAAUAAAUUGAGGUGUGUCAUUCAUAAACAAAUCUCAUAAUCUAUGGCCCUCCCAUUAGUGCAAAAACCAAUGUAGAAAAAAAAUAAUUUGAAUAUUUGUAGUUUGCUUUAGGCGCAUUUUAUAAUAAAUCAUCAUGACUAUGGGUACGAAUCUCAUGGCAUAGUUACGAUACCUAAUUCCUUAAUUUGGGUGUGCAUUUCAUGUGACCCGAUCAUAAAAACUUCGAACAAUAAUAAAAUAAAUAUGUCGCAAAUCACGGGUACAUUUCAUGUAGCGUGGUUUGCAAUGUGCUAAGAAACGGCAAGUGUAUGACAACCGUAACUUGUUUAAGAAAUAAAUUCAUAAUCACGGAAGGCUGAUCUUGCGCAAAUGGCCACCUC